rnacentral:rRNA from 1 species
UACGUAGGGUGCGAGCGUUAAUCGGAAUUACUGGGCGUAAAGCGUGCGCAGGCGGUUCGCUAAGACAGAUGUGAAAUCCCCGGGCUUAACCUGGGAACUGCGUUUGUGACUGGCGGGCUGGAGUGCGGAAGAGGGAGGUGGAAUUCCACGUGUAGCAGUGAAAUGCGUAGAGAUGUGGAGGAACACCGAUGGCGAAGGCAGCCUCCUGGUCUAGCAAUGACGAUCAUGCACGAAAGCGUGGGGAGCAAACAGG